GACGUAGGGCGCAAGCGUUGUCCGGAUUUAUUGGGCGUAAAGAGCUCGUAGGCGGCUUCGUUGCGUCGGCUGUGAAAACCCGCGACAUCACUGGUGGCUUGCAGCGAUACGGGCGGGCUGGAGUUCGGUAGGGGAGACUGGAAUUCCUGGUGUAGCGGUGAAAUGCGUAGAUAUCGUAAGGAAGACCAGUGGCGAAGGCGGGUCUCUGGACAGUUCCUGACGCUGAGGCACGAAGGCCAGGGGAGCAAACGGG
rnacentral:rRNA from 1 species